rnacentral:misc_RNA from 1 species
GAUGAAGAACGUAGCGAAAUGAGAUAAGUAAUGUGAAUUGCAGAAUUCAGUGAAUCAUCGAAUCUUUGAACGCACAUUGCACCCCCUGGUAUUCCGGGGGGCAUGCCUGUCCGAGCGUCAUUACAACCCUCAAGCUCAGCUUGGUGUUGGGCCCCGCCGCCCCGGCGGGCCCUAAAGUCAGUGGCGGUGCCGUCCGGCUCCGAGCGUAGUAAUUCUUCUCGCUCUGGAGGUCCGGUCGUGUGCUCGCCAGCAAUCCCCAAUUUUUUUCAGGUUGACCUCGGAUCAGGUAGGGAUACCCGCUGAACUUAAGCAUAUCAAUAAGCGGAGGA